AACGUAGGGCGCAAGCGUUAUCCGGAAUUACUGGGCGUAAAGGGCUCGUAGGCGGCCAACUAAGUCAGACGUGAAAUCCCUCGGCUUAACCGGGGAACUGCGCUUGAUACUGGAUGGCUUGAGUUUGGGAGAGGGAUGCGGAAUUCCAGGUGUAGCGGUGAAAUGCGUAGAUAUCUGGAGGAACACCGGUGGCGAAGGCGGCAUCCUGGACCAACACUGACGCUGAGGAGCGAAAGCCAGGGGAGCAAACGGG
rnacentral:rRNA from 1 species